UAGAUACCCUGGUAGUCCACGCCGUAAACGAUGUCGACUUGGAGGUUGUGCCCUUGAGGCGUGGCUUCCGGAGCUAACGCGUUAAGUCGACCGCCUGGGGAGUACGGCCGCAAGGUUAAAACUCAAAUGAAUUGACGGGGGCCCGCACAAGCGGUGGAGCAUGUGGUUUAAUUCGAAGAUACACGAAGAACCUUACCUAGGCUUGACAUUGAGAGAACUUAGCAGAGAUGCUUUGGUGCCUUCGGGAACU
rnacentral:rRNA from 1 species